CAGUAGCCGCGGUAAUACGGAGGGGGCUAGCGUUAUUCGGAAUUACUGGGCGUAAAGCGCACGUAGGCGGCUUGGUAAGUUAGAGGUGAAAGCCCGGAGCUCAACUCCGGAAUUGCCUUUAAGACUGCCGAGCUAGUAGGUGAGAGAGGUAAGUGGAAUUCCGAGUGUAGAGGUGAAAUUCGUAGAUAUUCGGAAGAACACCAGUGGCGAAGGCGGCUUACUGGCUCAUUCUAGACGCUGAGGUGCGAAAGCGUGGGGAGCAAACAGGAUUAGAUACCCCCGUAGUCCCUGUCUCUUAUAC
rnacentral:rRNA from 1 species